rnacentral:rRNA from 1 species
UACGGGGGGAGCAAGCGUUGUUCGGAUUUACUGGGCGUAAAGGGCGCGUAGGCAGUCAGUGCAAGUCAGUUGUGAAAUCUCCGGGCUUAACUCGGAAAGGUCAACUGAUACUGCUCGACUAGAGUGCGGAAGGGGCAACUGGAAUUCUUGGUGUAGCGGUGAAAUGCGUAGAUAUCAAGAGGAACACCUGCGGCGAAGGCGGGUUGCUGGGCCGACACUGACGCUGAUGCGCGAAAGCCAGGGGAGCGAACGGG